CCGUCCAACGGGAUGCACUGCUCUAGCCGCGCGUGCUCUUUUAAACAAUUGUUACAUGGGCAUUUAGUAAAGCAUGAGACAGAUGUUUUGAGAUUUGGAAAAAAAAAGCAAGUCAAAUACAUUAAGUUUUGCAAAAACAAAGGUGAUUCUAGUUUUCAUAGCUUUACGUGGGUAUAUACGAGCUAGGUUAAAAAUUGAGUCUUUUUGAAACGGACCGAGUCCUAGGUUUAAUUAGCACGCACUUGGGUGAGGAGGCUAAUCCGACACGAAAAAUAAGUUAACCUCAGGGAGUAGGUGCAGCUAGCCC
rnacentral:lncRNA from 1 species